AGAUGUGAUGUUUGUUUCGAGCUCUCGCCUUGCGCACGGUUAAAGUCGCGGCGGCAGAAUUAUCGGAAGAUUCCUGCAGGGGAAAGAAGAGAGAGACGAGUCAGCUCCGGCGCCGGCGGAGCCCCGGCUCUCGGCACCUGGGGAAGGAAAACACGCCCCAACACACGCGCCUCUGCGGGCGCCAAAAAUAACCCGCGCGGGCCGGGCGCCCACCCCGGGGCAACCCGCGCCCACCUCAGGGGCCCCAGGCACCCACCCCGAGGUAACGGGGCGCCCACGUCAGGGGCUCGGGGCGCGCUUCCCCGGGGCUCAGAGCAACUGGGGUCGGAGCACCCGCCACGCAGGAAAAGGCGCCCACCUCCGGCGAAGGGCGAGGGGAAGUGGCGGCCGCCCCGACACUCUCUGGACACGCGGAGGCGGCUCCCGAGGAUCUCCCGGCCCCGGGCGGGCGGGGGGCGACGCGUGGGUCUCUCCGGACCCUAACUCCCCAGAGGCUGCCGCGUGCCGAGCUCUGUCACGUCCCCUCAGAGCCCCGUUAAGGCCCGCGGCGCCGAGAGGAAGCCCACGGCGGGCAGGGGCGGCCGGGUAUGACAAUCGCCGUGCGGCCCCGGGGCAGCUCCCGGAGGGGGCAGCCCAGACCCACCCCACCCGCCGGCUGCUGUCUCCUCCCGAGCUCGGCGCUGCCCCCUACAGGCCGCGUGGUCCCUCCUCGGUCGCCCCCUGACCCACCAUGAGCCGCCUAGCUCCCUGUCGAGAUUGCCGCCGUCGCGGCUGCUGUCACCGAGGCCGGGUCAUCGGGCCGCGGGGACCUCAAAGCCGAGUGGACGGGAGCCCCAAGUCAUUGCCUAUCCUUCGCCUCCCCAGAGCUGCUGCAACUGUCAGUCACCCACCCGGAACCCCGAGGGGCAACUACCAAGUAGGCCUCGGGGCCCGGAACAAGGGUCCCGGGGCUCAGGAUCUCGGCCGCUGCGCCUCACUCCUGCCCCAGCCCCGCGCACGGAACUCGUUUCCUUCCCACCCAGUUCGGGACACUCCUCUCUGACUUCCCCAGGAUGCCGGCUGGCCCUGCCGGCCUGCGGGGCCCAGCCUAAGUCAGGCUCAUCUUUUGGGACAGGAUCUCACUUGCAGCGCUACAGCCAGUCCCUCUUCUGGUUCUCACGCACCCACUUAAGGCGGAGUGACUGGCCUAAAAGUCCAAGCUGAUCGUGUGGCUUCCGUUCGUAAAUAUCUCCCCUGGAUCUCCCUCCCUGGAGCCAGACAAGACUCAAAACUCCGAAGGGAAUGCAGUCCCCGCAGGGCGCAAAGGAGAAACUAAUAGUCCAGAGGCGGGGUGAACUUAAAGACCUGGCUUUCAUUAGCGUGGUGUUGUAACAGACUGCCAAGGAGCCUCUGAGGAAAUGGAUUUACGUACAUAUACAUACUCGCCCUUGCCCCUGAAGCAACAUCAAAUACUUUCAUGUUAUUCUUGGGGGCGUUUUAAUUCUUCCGAUCCUCUGAAUUCGUGUUUUUGUACAUCUCUUUCCAACCUGGGCCUACACACUAACAGAAAUAGUUUUUUACAUCGAAGGACAAUGCUUAGUGUUUUAUUCAGUCUCAGCUCUUUUCUUUCUUUUUUCUCGUUGUGUUUCAAAAUGUUUAUUUUUUCUGUCUUGUGAUAGUUUUGGAGGAAAAAUAUUGAAAUAAUUCAAAUCAGGCUCUUAACUCUGCUUUAUUAAAUUUAUAGUCAUAGUAGCCUGUGAGUAUGCUUCGGGGGAGGAAAAAAGAAUGCUGGGGUCUUUAUUCUUCAAGUUCUCUAAGUUUGAUAUUUUGAAUAAACACCCAGAGGUGUCUCUGCCUUUUGUGUGUUAGUAUCUAAUCUUUCCUGCAUUUACGAGUCACUAGUAAAAUGCUAUGAAAGCCAUAGAUCCCAUGGCUCUCACUGUGAUUUUCCUGGGCUGAGUAGGGACUUAGUGAUGUUUAACCCCCAGUAUGCUUUUUAUAGAAGCACCAGCUGAUUCACCAGUGCCCUCCAAAGUGAGCACCUAUCCAUCUCACUCUGGACUCCCAACAGGUCAUACCAGGGAGCUUCGUUGAAAUAGACUUGGCAUUUAAAUUAAAAUGUUUCCCAAAGCAUCUUGGCAGACCUGUAACUAAUGAUGCCAGAGGCCCAAGGCCUGUGCCAGGUUCCCUUUUAUUCCCAUAAGUGCUUGUCUCCCACAAGCCACUGGUCACACGCCUGCUGAUGUUAUAGAAGCACUUCUUCAUCCCACAAACAGCCCAACUGUAGGUACCCUAUCUCAGACAUGGUGAAGGGAAGCAGCAUGUUCCUCUGACAUGUGCGAUGCUUGGCUCCCAACAGGCUUUUUAUAAUAAGCUAAACUCAGAUUUUUUCAUCACAAAUAGCGU
rnacentral:lncRNA from 1 species